AUGCAUGAGCUGCACAAGGGCAGAUUCUUCUCCUUUGGCUGGUUGAACUCAUCGAUCAUUUCAUUGCUACCCAAGAAAGAUAGAUCCUUGGAAGUGGCAGAUUUUCGACCGAUCAACCUAAUUCAUGGUGCUGCUAAAUUUUUUGCCAAGGUUCUAGCGGUCCGCCUUGCUCCGUUAUUACCUGGGCUAAUCUCGCAAGUUCAGAGUGCCUUCGUCAGCCGGAGAAGUAUACAUGAAAACUUCAAGUUUGUGCGUAAUACCGCACGGUUGCUACAUCGUCGGAAAAUCCCAGUUGUACUUAUGAAGAUCGACAUCUCCAAAGCCUUUGAUACUUUAUCCUGGGAAUUUAUUAUCAAUUUGUUGAUUCGGAGAGGUUUUGGACGGAGAUGGUGCUCAUGGAUUUGUGGCCUCAUGUGCACUGCCUCAUCCUCGGUUCUGGUCAAUGGUGAGACUUGUGACCCCUUUGCGUUGGCUUGUGGUGUAAGAGAAGGCGAUCCACUAUCACCGGCACUCUUCAUCCUAGCUAUGGACACGCUUCAGGCUAUGCUACACUAG
rnacentral:rRNA from 1 species